rnacentral:rRNA from 1 species
CCCGGGCCUUGUACACACCGCCCGUCACACCGUGGGAGUGGGUUGCAAAAGAAGUAGGUAGCUUAACCUUCGGGAGGGCGCUUACCACUUUGUGAUUCAUGACUGGGGUG